rnacentral:rRNA from 1 species
AGUGAACGCUGGCGGUAGGCCUAACACAUGCAAGUCGAACGGCAGCACAGUAAGAGCUUGCUCUUACGGGUGGCGAGUGGCGGACGGGUGAGGAAUACAUCGGAAUCUACUUUUUCGUGGGGGAUAACGUAGGGAAACUUACGCUAAUACCGCAUACGACCUACGGGUGAAAGCAGGGGAUCUUCGGACCUUGCGCGAUUGAAUGAGCCGAUGUCGGAUUAGCUAGUUGGCGGGGUAAAGGCCCACCAAGGCGACGAUCCGUAGCUGGUCUGAGAGGAUGAUCACCAACACUGAACAUGAGACACGGUCCAGCUCCUUAGGGAAGGAAGCAGGGGGGAAUAUUGGAAAAUGGGGGAAGCCCGGACCAAGCAAAACGGCGUGGUGAAGAAGGCCUUCGGGUUGUAAAGCCCUUUUGUUGGGAAAGAAAAGCAGCAGGUUAAUACCCCGCUGUUCUGACGGUACCCAAAGAAUAAGCACCGGCUAACUUCGUG